UACGUAGGGGGCUAGCGUUGUCCGGAAUCAUUGGGCGUAAAGCGCGUGUAGGCGGCCCGGUAAGUCCGCUGUGAAAGUCGGGGGCUCAACCCUCGAAUGCCGGUGGAUACUGUCGGGCUAGAGUACGGAAGAGGCGAGUGGAAUUCCUGGUGUAGCGGUGAAAUGCGCAGAUAUCAGGAAGAACACCGGUGGCGAAAGCAGCUCUCUGGGGCGGUACUGACGCUGAGGCGCGAAAGCGUGGGGAGCGAACAGG
rnacentral:rRNA from 1 species